UACGAGGGGUGCGAGCGUUAUUCGGAAUUAUUGGGCGUACAGGGUGCGUAGACGGCUUAUUAAGUCAACUGUUAAAUUCCCCGGCUUAACUGGGGGCCAGCAGUAGAUACUGGUGAGCUAGAGGAUGGAAGAGAGAAGUGGAAUUCUCGGAGUAGCGGUAAAAUGCGUAGAUCUCGAGAGGAACACCGAUGGCGAAGGCAGCUUCUUGGUCCAUAUCUGACGUUGAGGCACGAAAGCGUGGGGAGCAAACAGG
rnacentral:rRNA from 2 species